rnacentral:rRNA from 1 species
AACGAACGCUGGCGGCAUGCCUAACACAUGCAAGUCGAACGAGACCUUCGGGUCUAGUGGCGCACGGGUGCGUAACGCGUGGGAACCUGCCUUUAGGUUCGGAAUAACUCAGAGAAAUUUGAGCUAAUACCGGAUGAUGUCUUCGGACCAAAGAUUUAUCGCCUUUAGAUGGGCCCGCGUUGGAUUAGCUAGUUGGUGGGGUAAAGGCCUACCAAGGCGACGAUCCAUAGCUGGCCUGAGAGGAUGAUCAGCCACACUGGGACUGAGACACGGCCCAGACUCCUACGGGAGGCAGCAGUGGGGAAUACUGGACAAUGGGCGAAAGCCUGAUCCAGCAAUGCCGCGUGAGUGAUGAAGGCCUUAGGGUUGUAAAGCUCUUUUACCCGAGAUGAUAAUGACAGUAUCGGGAGAAUAAGCUCCGGCUAACUCCGUG